GUACUUAGGUGUUCUUAUUUGCAAUUUUAAGGUGCCCAAGAAAUGAGAAGAAAGAACAAAGGCCAAGUCCAUUGGUCAAUUUGUACAAAAUAACUUGAGGCCUGGCCAGGUGUCCAUCCAGUUGAAUCAUCUGUCAUGUGGUUUCCAGAUUUCCAAAUCCUCUGAGAUGUUUUUGCCACGAUAGCUGGAGAGAUUGGACGUGAUACACAUCAGGAGACUGGCUGACAAUUGCUGGCUCUAUGUCUACCACUGCUGAAGCUGUCAGAAGGUAGAGGCGAAAGCAUUUAUGCAACAUAAACCACACACUUAGAUUUCUUUUAA
rnacentral:lncRNA from 1 species